UACGGGGGGAGCAAACGUUGUUCGGAAUUACUGGGCGUAAAGCGCGUGUAGGCGGUUAUGCAAGUCGGAUGUGAAAGCCCUCGGCUCAACCGGGGAAGUGCACCCGAAACUGCGUGACUAGAGUCUCGGAGAGGAUCGUGGAAUUCUCGGUGUAGAGGUGAAAUUCGUAGAUAUCGAGAGGAACACCGGUGGCGAAGGCGGCGAUCUGGACGGUGACUGACGCUGAGGUGCGAAAGCGUGGGGAGCGAACAGG
rnacentral:rRNA from 1 species